UACGUAGGUGGCAAGCGUUGUCCGGAUUUACUGGGCGUAAAGAGCGCGCAGGCGGUCGUCCAAGUCGCGUGUGAAAGCCCCCCGGCUCAACUGGGGAGGGUCACGCGAUACUGAUCGACUCGAAGGCAGGAGAGGGUAGUGGAAUUCCCGGUGUAGUGGUGAAAUGCGUAGAUAUCGGGAGGAACACCAGUGGCGAAGGCGACUACCUGGCCUGUUCUUGACGCUGAGGCGCGAAAGCUAGGGGAGCAAACGGGGAUUAAGAAACCCCAG
rnacentral:rRNA from 1 species